rnacentral:lncRNA from 1 species
CUGUGCUUCAGGGGCUGCUUGUACCAAUGCAACCACCCCCAUCAUGUGCCGCCUUCCCCCCGCAGGUGGGCCAGCAGGUGCUGCACACAGCGAUGAGGCGCAGCUGGACCCCGACUUCGUCCCACCAAAGGGACAGGUGGCCUUUGCUUCCCGGCCAACAAAGCUCGCGAGCCUCUGAACACAUCAUUGCAAAGAUGGCCGAGGACACUGUCACGGAUGUUCUCGUCACGAUGCAAGCUCUUCAUCCCUCUGCUGGUUUGCCAAAGGCGCCUCCUCUGCGGCGCAGGGAGACACUGCCCGGCAGCACUUGUGCAAGAGCAGAGACAGCGCAUCCGCCCCGCUUACCACCUCUCGCAGCCAAGGCAGCUAGGCCGGCACAGGCAGGCCUGCAGGCCUCUGCAGCUGCAGCUAAAACACCAGGAUCCGCAUGUCGAAGCAAGCUGCCUGCUCGGGAAGCCUCCUGCAGAUCUUCUUCCAGACGCAGGGCCAAUGCCCUGGGCACCCAAGGUGUGGCAAGGAGAAAUCUGGAGAGUGUGAGCAAGCGAGUAGAGAGGCUGGCUACAAAUCCCAGCCAAGCUGCUGCCACGGCACACUUCCUGCCUGUUAGAGCUGCUGCGAUGGCUCUGCACUGUGGGCAGAGCCUGGAAGAGGAAGAGCUCCUGCCACCCCAUCUGCCUUUGCCUGCCCUUCACAAAGCCAAGCGGGAAGCUCGGGCUCCCCGCCGGGCAACUCAAGAGCGUGCCCGCUGCUUGCCUGAGCCCAGGCCUGCCUCUUCCGGAUCAGCCCUGGGAAAAGCAAGGAUGUUGCGAGAGGCUGGUGCCAGGACAACUCUUCCUGCGAAAAGCCGGCAGCUCAGCGCACGCUCCUGCUUUGUCCCGGGAGCACAGACCAUUCCUCAAAGGGAGAUGCGAGGCAUGCCAGCAUGCAAGGAGCGGGGGUCAACCCGCCUGACAGAGGCAAAGCUGCCAGAGUCCCUGCUGGGGGUGGCUUUUUCCAGAAGUGCCCAAGAAGUGUGCCAGGAGCUUGUGAGCAAGCUGCUCGCAGCUCCCCCAGAUGCCUGUGCCCACCAGCUCAAGGCACAAUGCUUGCACACCAUGGCGCACAGCCAGGACUUGGUGCUAAGCAAGUGCUCAGCGUCCCAACGGCGAGGCCACAGGCCUCCCCAAAGGCAAGUGCCCCGCGCUGAGACGCGCCAAGGAGAAACAGCCUCUCGUGCCCCGGAUGAAGGCCUGCAGUGGGAGAGGAUGCCCAAAGGUGUCUCAGAGGACGUUCAGCUCACGAGGCCCCGCUUCGCAGACGUACCACCCACCUCUGCUA